GAAUAUUGACGGCCGUCACUUGCCAGUUCUUCUCCGCAGCUGUAUCUAGAACUUUCUGGAGGACGGACAGGCCUGGGGUGAGCAGUUCGUAAGCAUUUUGCCAGUUCACCAUCCUCUGAAGUGAAGGAAGUGUGUUCCCGGAGCAUAAAUACUUUUUCUCCCUGUCAACCCACUUGAUAAAGAAAGAACCACAGAGAACAACUGCUUCCUCUCCAUUGCUGACUCACUCUAUUGCCUGAACCUGGGUGACCACUAAAUAACUUGGUCAUGAAAGGAACUGAAGACUUCGCAGAAAUCCACAGUUAUCCUCUGCCUUGGUGACCUUCGGACUGGGUGUUCCACUUGAAGUGACUCUUGAACAUCACUCAAGAGCUUCAUCAAAUGCAAUUUUCCCCGUGUAAGAUUUGUUCUCAGACAGAGUUUUCCAGCUGACUUGAUUGCGGAGUAACAAGAUCAAGUGACCUGUCCAAAAUCAUACAACAAAUCAACAGCCAAGCAGCAAUUACAAGCCAGCAUUUUUCCAGUCUGUUGCUGAUUGCUGCCAGAACACACUGUCAGGAUAACGGACCCAAUUUCCAAGAUACAAAGCUACAUCCUGACUUCGAGCUGCAAUAGCAAUGGCAGAUAAUGUGAUAGGGAGAGGAAUUGAACUUGACUCUGUACUGUUCCAAUCAGAAGCAACACAUAAGUCAUGCCCCUUUGACAUUUCUCUUAUGUUUUCAAUGAACUGAAUUCUCCUUCAACUUGAUUUUCCUCUCUCAGCGUUGUCUGGGUUUCCAUCUACGUGUCUUGAAUUACUUUCCCCAGGCCUUGGUCUCAGCUGU